GUGGAGUACUCACCUACCUGCUGCAUGAAGGCAGCAUGGAGGGACUGUGGUGGAUUAUCUGCAAAGAUGGCCAAAAUUCUCUCAUCCCUGCAGGCACAUACAAGAUGCCAGAAUCAGUCAAAACUAAGCUCACUGUCCUUGCUAAUAUUCUGCCCCAGAGAAGAACUGAAGCUCAGCUCUUCACCCUACAGAAAGCCUGAAUUUUGUAAAUGUUCUGCUUAGAAUGAGGAAGAAAGAUGAAGAAUGAGGAGGAAGAAGGAAGGAACGAGAGAGAGCCAGGUUUCCAGAAGUUCCCCAGUCAUUGAGCAUUUCUGAGGCUCUUGAUGCAUAUGCCAAGUAGUUAUGGAGAAAGACACAGCAGCUUACCUCUGCAGGCAUCAUUGUGUGAAAGGAAGACCCAGGCUCUCUCACCACCCUUGAACAGAAGCCUUUUGCUAAGGUGAUAGCUACAUGUCCAAGCCUAUUGCGUGGCAUGCAUUUUGCCUUCUGCAGCCCACUAAAGGAGUUUGCAGUUCACCCGCAAACCUCAGCGAUCCAAGCUCCCCUGGAUGACCAUCACUCACCAAGAAAAGAGCAAUAACAGGACCUGUUUUGCUAAUCCAGGACUGUUCUCCAGCACUAACUCUAAAUAAUCCCUUCUGCUAGAGUCCACUUUCUGGAACCUGUUGCCUCCGUUUUCAACGUUUCCCAAACUUGGUCCGUUGUGUGAGCUGGCUGAUAAAAGUUCCAGGGAGAAGACAUCUUACUCUUAUUGGAUCAUGCACAGUGCCUGAAGCAUUCUGUUGCAUGUAGAAGUCAGUAAAUUGCAGAUGUAA
rnacentral:lncRNA from 1 species